GAUCCUGGCUCAGGACGAACGCUGGCGGCGUGCUUAACACAUGCAAGUCGAACGAGAAUCUACUGAAAGAGUUUUCGGACAAUGGAAGUAGAGGAAAGUGGCGGACGGGUGAGUAACGCGUGAGGAACCUGCCUUGAAGAGGGGGACAACAGUUGGAAACGACUGCUAAUACCGCAUGAAGCAUAGGGGUCGCAUGAUUCUUAUGCCAAAGAUUUAUCGCUUCAAGAUGGCCUCGCGUCCG
rnacentral:rRNA from 1 species